rnacentral:rRNA from 1 species
GUGGGGAAUAUUGCGCAAUGGGGGCAACCCUGACGCAGCAAUACCGCGUGAGUGAAGAAGGUUUUCGGAUCGUAAAGCUCUGUUAUUGGGGAAGAAAAAAGACGGUACCCAAGAAGAAAGUCCCGGCUAACUACGUGCCAGCAGCCGCGGUAAUACGUAGGGGACAAGCGUUGUCCGGAUUUACUGGGCGUAAAGGGCACGCAGGCGGGUUUUUAAGUCAGAUGUGAAAGGUACCGGCUCAACCGGUGACAUGCAUUUGAAACUGAAAGGCGUGAGUAUUGGAGAGGAAAGUGGAAUUCCUAGUGUAGCGGUGAAAUGCGUAGAUAUUAGGAGGAACACCGGUGGCGAAGGCGGCUUGCUGGACAAAUACUGACGCUGAGGUGCGAAAGCGUGGGGAGCAAACAGGAUUAGAAACCCUGGUAGUCC